ACUCAAAGGAAUAGACGGGGGCCCGCACAAGCGGUGGAGCAUGUGGAUUAAUACGUCAUUAACCGUAGAACCUUACCCAGGCUUGACAUCUGUGGAAGGCUCCCGAAAAGGAGCUGUGCUACGCAAGUAGAGCCACAAGACAGGUGUUGCAUGGCUGUCGUCAGCUCGUGUCGUGAGAUGUUGGGUUAAGUCCCGCAACGAGCGCAACCCUCACUGCCUGUUGCCAGCAUUCAGUUGGGCACUCUGGCGGAACUGCCCGGGUAACCGGGAGGAAGGUGGGGAUGACGUCAAGUCAGCAUGGCCCGUACGCCUGGGGCUUCACACAUGCUACAAUGGCCGGUACAAAGGGUCCCGAAGCCGCGAGGUGGAGGCAAUCCCAAAAAGCCGGUCUCAGUUCGGAUCGCAGGCUGCAACUCGCCUGCGUGAAGUCGGAAUCGCUAGUAACCGCCGGUCAGCUAAACGGCGAUGAAUACGUUCCCGGGCCUUGCACACACCGCCCGU
rnacentral:rRNA from 1 species